rnacentral:rRNA from 1 species
AGCGAACGCUGGCGGCAGGCCUAACACAUGCAAGUCGAACGAACUCUUCGGAGUUAGUGGCGGACGGGUGAGUAACACGUGGGAACGUGCCUUUAGGUUCGGAAUAACUCAGGGAAACUUGUGCUAAUACCGAAUGUGCCCUUCGGGGGAAAGAUUUAUCGCCUUUAGAGCGGCCCGCGUCUGAUUAGCUAGUUGGUGAGGUAAAGGCUCACCAAGGCGACGAUCAGUAGCUGGUCUGAGAGGAUGAUCAGCCACAUUGGGACUGAGACACGGCCCAAACUCCUACGGGAGGCAGCAGUGGGGAAUCUUGCGCAAUGGGCGAAAGCCUGACGCAGCCAUGCCGCGUGAAUGAUGAAGGUCUUAGGAUUGUAAAAGUCCUUCACCGGGGACGAUAAUGACGGUACCCGGAGAAGAAGCCCCGGCUAACUUCGUGCCAGCAGCCGCCGUAA